CCUCUGAAUUUCAGCUGGCCUCCUGUUAUUAUCCAGCCACAGAUGAUACAGCUUUUAAUAGCUGGUUUUGCAUUGUGAGGUGAUGAACUUGGGAUUUUCUACCUCAGUCUUAAUGCACUGGCAUCCGAUCCUGCAGCUCACAGGGGUAAAGUUAUCCACUGCGGCUUGUUCUCUUGUCUGAAGCUGUUUACUUUCCACAUGAGUAGUGUAUUUGCCAUUGAUGUGGAAAGUACACUGCCGGUCUUUACUUUCCUCCUAUUUAUUUCAAAACUAUUGUUACAUUUUCUAAACCUUUUUGCCAGAUGGGCAAUCACUGAAGGAUAAGUAGCCACAUUUACAUCAUUAUUCUUAUGAUGAAUGCUCUUUGGUUUUGCUGUGUGGACACAAACCCGGAUGUAAUCACAUUAUAGAUACUAAAAAAAAAAAAGAAAAAAAAGGCUAGAGCUGGGUGUAUCUUUGGAUGUGUGUCAGAAUACAAUGGGAACAGGCUGUUUGUUAAUCUGUUAAUGCCCCAGCAUGAUAAAAUGGGGUCCACAGCCAUGUUUGCUGAUGCAUUGGCUCUCUGCCCACUCUCUGCCUCCUUGGUACCCUCCAGCUUGCAGGUGACGCACAGAGGCAUUGGCAGGGAAGAGGGAGAAGGGAAAGCAGCAGUAGGCAUGUUUGCACAGCAGCAUUGAGCAUGGAGUCUGCAACAGCUCCUGUUCAACCUCUGUGCCAAGAUCUCCUCUCAGGAGAGAAAAGAGAGAGAAAGGGCCUGGAUGUGGGUGAGUAACCAGCGGGGGGAUUGGACUAGAUGAACUUUUGAGGUCCCUUCCAAUCCCUAACAUUCUGUGUUUGAUUCUGUGACCUGCACUCUGCUGUGGUGUUGGGCUGUAGCCAAAGCUCAUUUGGGGACACAGGGAAGUGCUUCUGGGUCAAGCAAUAAGGGCAUGACUGUAGAUCCAAGUCUCAUUUACAUGGCAUUCUGACCUAUUUAUUGUAGGACAGGGCAGCAGAAAGAGAAAAAAAAAAGUUUUGAGUGUUUCCCCCCAUCAUAGCACUUUCAGGUCUUGCAGACUGGAUUUCUCUUGGUGGUGGAAAGCUAGGUCAAUCCAAGCAGCUAUCAGCUGGGAUCUAAUCCAGUCUGAGGCAGGAAACUUGAGUCUAAGUCUGGGUCAUCAUGUUUCCUUCAUGCAGGGAAUUCACCUAUUCUUUUGUUGAUAAUGUCAAUCUGGUUGGUGUAAAGCCUAUUGAAUCCCAGGGACUAGUCUCUAGGCAAAUUUUGGCCAGGGCACAUCAGAAGGUUACAGUGUGCUGCCACGCUAUAACCAGAAGGCUGGAACAAGUGUUGAAGGACAGAAGCACUGCCUGGGGACUGUUACGUCUGAGUCUGAGCCCUGGGGAAGAAGAGGAGGAGGAAGAGAAGCUUCCUGACAAGCAUAAGCACCCCUUCCCAGAGGGGCUGUGGAAGGGGUAGGCUGAGCGGAUAACACUGCUGAAGGUGGGUAACUCUACUGAAGCUGCUGUGGGCUCCAGCUGUGAUCUCCAACAACCAAUUCUGCUGUCCCAGACCACUCUGCUUUCAACAGAGCUGGACUUUGGUUGCGAUAUGGAAUGUGGGUCCGUGUCCCUCUGGCAGGCACCUAUGUACCACCAGUGACUUCAGAGGGAGCCCUAUGCAGGUGGCUUAAGAUAAACGAUGUUAACUCCACCUCAAACCUACUCUUUCUAUGAGCAAAGGCUCUUCAAGCAGGGCUAAUUGAUAUGUUUAUUCCUUUGUAAACACCUUUUUAUCCAGAAUGACGUAAGGUGGACUCAGAAUACACAAGAACCAGACUCACUUCAGCUUCAGGGAAAGGCUUCUCUUUUCUGCUCCUGACACUGCUGCUUCUAGGGACAUUUACGUUACUAGUCCAGUUGUUACUGUCUUUCUCAUGUAAAAAUCUAGAGAUUGAGCUUGUGGUCUCCUCUGUGGUGUAAACCCAAAAUGACAUUGUGCAUGGCUGAGUGUUCAGGUUGAGGGCUAAGGGAAGCUGCAAGAGAUGCCCUUCCUCUGUGAUAUUUUCUUUGUGGUGGCUGGGAUCUGCAGGGAUUAGAUGUUGGAAAACAUUCAUCUGUGAGGCUAUGUUUCUCCCUUUAUUACAUUUUCAGCUUUGCUCUCUUGUGCAACUGCAAAUUCUUCCAUCAUGACCAUAACUCACGUGUCUUCCAGCUUCCAGUUUUCCAGAAAACAAUGGUCCCUUUUCUCUCCAUUGCUGUGCUGGGAACUUGAUAUCCAUAUGAAGACAUGCAUAUAACUCCAUUCAACCCCUGUCUUCCUGCCACCAUAGCUCCCUCCAGCUUUGCCUUGGCUUACUUGGCUAUCUUAGCUGUGUUUAACUUGCGUAAUGGAGUGAAAGACUUGGCCUUUGCUUUGUUUCUUGUUCCUGUGUUUUGGGACAAGCUAUGCCUUGGGAAUUUUGUUGAAGCUCCUCAGACUGCUGUGGGACUGAUUCCUGUUAUUUUUUGUACAUAAAUUGAUCGGACCAUUGCACAGUUUUGUGCUGGGUCAUUUGAAUGAAGCUGGAUGUAUUCCCUCAGACUGGAAAAGAAAGGUGCUCAUAUCUUUUUGUAAGAAAACCAACCCUUGUGUUCCAUUUUUUUUUUUUUUUUGUGGUACAUCUCAUUGGCUCUUGGGCAUAAAAAUUGUGUUUUGAGGGGAAUUAUAAGUAAGUGUUUAGAACAGAAUAGAACAGAAUAUCUGAGUUGGAAGGGACCUACAGUGAUCACCUAGUCCAACUGUCUGACCACUUCAGGGCUGACCAAAAGUUAAAGCACGUUGUUAAGGGAAUUGUUCAAAGGCUUCUUAAACACUGACAGAUUUGGGGCAUCAACUACCUCUCUAGGAAGCCUGUUCCAGUGUUUGACCAUCCUCUUGGUAAAGAAAUGCUUCUUAAUGUCCAGUCUAAACCUUCCCCUUUGAGCUCUGAGCCAUUCCCACGUGUUCUAUCACUGGAUCCCAGGAAGAAGAAAUCAGCACCUCCCCCUUCAUUUGUGAAUCCAUGUUGACUGUGCGUGAUGUUUGCACUGUUCUUUAAAUGUCAUUUAGCAGUACUCAGUAGAAACUUCUCCACAAUUUUCCCAGGAACUGGGGUUAGACUAACAGGUCUGUAGUUCCUUGGGUCUUCCCUCACACCUUUUUUGCAGGUUGGAAUAACACUGGCUAGCUUCCAGUCAGCAGGAACCUCCCCAGACUCUCAAGAUUUUUAAACUACAUGUAUUUUACAAAUCAGAAUGGAAUAUUAUUCAAUAGUUGGAUUUUUACAAUGUACAAAAAUUUCUUGCACUCCUGUGUACAGAAGUCCUUUGUAACUGGCUUUGCUCCCAAGUUUGAAAUACAGGAUAUUAUUGUAGCCCUUGCAGGAUCAAAAUUACAAGCAAUCCUAAAUUAAACACCGGAUGACAACAGCAUUUGUUCUUCAGCCAGGGUAAGCAGGCUAGGGUCGUCAUGCCUUUGUCCUAGAGUAAUUUUUCUUGUAAUUUUACCAUGCACAGGUUGGGCAACUUGAGACUCUUGCCUGGCUCUGCCAUGUUGUGAUUUCCAGGGUGCCUAGAGCACUUGUGCAAAAGAAAAAACCAAAAAACCCGACUUUAUUUUUCUAAGGCUGAAGGACAACUUCCUUGUUUGCUAGGGUUUCAGUGAGAAUUUGAAUAUUGAAAAGGUAAGGCAGACACGCAGGGAAUAUAGACAGGCUUCUAAGAGCAUCAUCACCUGGACAAAGUUGGGUGUUCUGUCAGUGAUAGAUCUGAGGAGUACACCUCAAAUUGGCAUACGCAUUAGAGGAGAUUAACACGACUGUAAAAUGAGGAGGUUUGCACGGUGUUCUGCAUUGGGAAGAACAAAAAGUGCCACCUAAAAAGUGAGCAACCAGAUCAUCUUCUCCAAAUGGGAGUAGACAAAGGAAUGUUUCUGUGUUGCCUAAAAACAGUCCAUCAGAGUGAGAACAUCAGUUAAUGAUCACCAGUCCUUGCUGGGGUCGCUACUGUUGUUUUUCUUAAGCUAUAAGAAAUUGAAUUAAAUUACUGCAUGUUUUUUGUAAACUGCUAGGACAAAAAAUGAUUUAAAGAUAUGCAUUAUGUUCAUAUGUUAUAUAACAAAAAGUAGAAAAUUUAAUAGGAAGUGAAAACUCAGCUUUCAAGGAGUGAAAAAUUGCAUUCCAUAAGCCAAUAAACUUUCCUCUCUCUCUCAUUCUGUGCAGCACGUUCGGACACUGCAGACUUUUGUUUCUUGACACUGACAUUAAUACAUUAUUUCUUUUUUUCUUUUUUUUCAGCUCGGCUUAACUUCGUUGAAAAAAGGCCUGUGUUGUUCCCUGAAAGUUUGUAAUACAAUGCUUUUAAAAAUAGAUAUAACCUGUUUAACAAACUAAGCAGGAAAUGUGAAGAAGUGCAUCUCCUACUUUACUAGAGGUGCAUUCCACCUGGCCAAGAGCACAGGUGCAGGUCUCGUCAUUCAGAAGUUGCCUCCACAUCAAAUUAAGAUUUGCUAAACACAGGUAGAUUGCAGUGGUGAGAAACUUUCAGACUGAUUUUUAGACUAUACGGCCCUAUAUAAAGCGGUUUACAAAGUGUUUGCAAAAUAAAAGAAUAUGGAAUAAUGGAAUUCAAAAGGAUUUAAUCAGGGUGGGAGGCAGAUAGGCAAAUGUCUUUCCAAAGCAGCCAGAGUUCAGAAGCGAUCCUUGCCAUGAGCCAUAAAGAUGAAGAGGUCGAGUCCUGACCGGUGGCUGAGCUGCAGGCCAGGGCUGAGAUCACGGUGUUCGCAGAGCGGGAACACUUUCCCACCCCAUGUGUCCUCUGCCCUCAUGUGCCGCAGCUGAUCUCAGUCGUUUCCUGAGCACUUGGUGGAUCUGGGCAUGAGAAGUCUGUCAUCUUUUACAGAUACCAAGGUAGCUCCCAGCCAGAGGACUCGGAGAAACCGGAGCUGACCCAAAAAAGCAGCAGGACAAGGGGCAUGAGUUGCAACGUGGGAAAUUUCCAUUAGGAUCCCUCUGGAUAUGCUAAAGAAAACCCAAGGUGGGGAGCAUGGCAUGGAGGCCUUCAGCUCUGCCAGUGAAAUACCCUUCAUGAGGCAGCAGGGUGGGGAUGAGGAGGAGAGAGGAGCUGCUGCAAAAGAUGAUGAGCGUGUGCUUCAGCUAAAGGGGAUGGCAGCAACUGGAGGCAAUGGUGGAGGAGAUGACACAGUGUGAGCAGUUCUGCGUUACCAUUGUCCUUGCAAAGAAAUAGAGUGUUUUCCACUGAUAAUAGAGAUUCAGGAUGGUGCACUACUGACAAAAAUGACUUUUAGUGAUGUCUGAGGAUGAAGAGUUUGUUGGGAAAGAUGGCCCAGAGCCUUUUUUUCAUGCAGUGUUCUGAGAAGUGUUAAAGUUUCUGUGUACAUACGGGAAAAACCUGAUUUGGUAAGAAAGAGUUAGGACAUAACCUGGUAUGCAGAAGCCACAGUUUUGCUGCAUCCAUUAAAGAACCUGACACAAAUGUCAAAAUUCAGCUGGAGGAAGCAUUUGUGUUAUUGCUGGAUAUACUGUUAAUGCAAAAUACUGUACUUAAGUAUGAAAUGCAACAUGUAAUCAUGCAUGAAAUUCAUUUCCCAGUCAUAAAUCCCGCCAUCUCCCCUCCAGUCCCAUUAAAUACAGGGCGUCUCUGGAAGAUGUGCCGAUUUAUCAGAGGAAUUUUCUUGCCUGUAAAGGAAACUUAGAAAGACUGCCUUAGGUAGCAGGCAUCAGCUUAUAGAUGCUGGUCAGUGGUGGGGCACGUUUAAAGGCUUGUGGAGCUGUGGUCCUGUGCCUGCCACUGUCCUCACCGGGCACUUUCCGGUGACAUGUCACAUGCCCUGAGCUGUGAAAAUAUUGAUUUUGGGAUCACGUGCCUGAACCAGUUUCAGUUUUCCUCCCAUCCCAAACAGGAGCUAGCGUCAAGCUGGGAUCCUUGUCAAGCCAGUGUAAUGCCCUGGAGGUUCCUCCAAGCCCGUUUGCUGACUGUACUUUGCAGGAGGUUUUUCCCACCUCUGCCACAGCUGUUUUCCAGCUCUGGAAACCCCAGUCUGGGCACCUCUGUAGGCUGAGGUUUGCUUAAGCGUGACUCAAGCUGCAAGUCCCUGUGUCCUGCCUGCAGGGUCUCUCAGCAGAGCCCCAUAGCAGCUCCAUUUCAAGCCACUGCUUCUGGGGGGACGCUGGCUGAAGGUCACCAGCCUCAGGCAGGCAUCACCCCCCAGAUCUGACCAGAGAAAUGGAAGAAAUUAUGGCUUUGAAGGUUGAGUUUAAAGUACAGAAAGGAAAAGCCGUGAUUAAAACAAAGGGAAAAUUCAAUCCUCCCCUGUCUUCAACAGAAAUUAUAUCUCAUAUUUUUCUGGCAAGCCUCACUCCUGGAGCACUGACCAAGCAGCCUCCAUUUGCCCACUCCACAACCCAAUACUGUCCUGGGCUCUUCCAGGCCUCCCACCCAAAGGUACACAUCGCCUGCCAGCUCUCAUCCCCACGAGUCGCUCAGCAAACGGCCAUCCCCAAGUUUUGAGCCCAAAUCCCUCUUCCCCUCUCACAUCUCCAACAGUGGCUCCCACAGGCGAGCGUCUCCUGCAAGCAGAAUCCAACCGGUUGCCCGUUGAACCUCGCAGGUGCCGGCACAUUUCUUGGCAUUUGGCAGGGACCAGCGGCAUCUUUGGACACAGGCCUAGCAGCUGACAGGCUCUUUGCCUGGCUACAUUUCAGCGAUUAACCUGCUACCUCUGUCUGUCAGCUUAUGGGUUUCCACACCGCACCAGAAAGACAGGAAGGUUAAAGAUUUGCUUGGACUGCCUGGGGCUGGUAUGGUGCCCCAAGAGUGGGCGUCCGUCUAGAUGUUCAGCCGCCACAUGGUCAGAGCAAUAUGGACAGCUGUAAAAUAAAGCCCAUUACAGCUCAUAUUGCAGACCUUGCGUUCCAAACAAGGCUUGGAGAAGCCAUGGGGCUGUGUUCUCCAAGUCAGGACUGUAAGAGGUCACUCUCCUCUUUGUGCUGCCCGUGAGCUCAACCCCUUUUCUCCGAGACAUUUCUCAGCACACCAGUGUCUGUUGGCUUGUGAGAAGGGCCCCUGCCAAGCUCUUCAGGCGUGGAGUAGGUUGUUCUCUUCUCAUUUUUGAAGUCUCAUGGUUAAUUUCUAAUGAGAAGUGCCUUUGAACUUCUGAACUUUAAACUCAGUGGAGUGAGCCCUCCCUUGAGUACAUCAAAACCUGUAGCUGUGCUUAGGGGAACGAUUCAUGCCACAUACUCAUCAUGCUGAGAAAUUAUCCAUAGUCGUUUAUGUGGCACAUGCAUCACUGAGUAUGUUAAUAUAUAUGAGUAAAUAAAAAAAAGAAGCCAUUAGUCUAGGAUGUGCAUCCCUGAAAACAGCAUUUGGUCUGCAGAAUAUCAAAUGGACUGAAACACCUGUCACUGAUCUUUUACAAAGAAAAUCUCUCACUUCUUAGAACAAAGCAAACAAGCACACUCUCAUAUAUAUGCAUUUGUAUAUAAUGAAAAAAUGUGAUACUAAGACUUUUUUAUAUCUUUGCCUUAUAUCAUGUCUAAAAAUAGGAGAGAUGAGGCUUUUAUCGUAACUGCUAUUUCCUUGGUAUAGGAGCAAAAUUAUUACCCACAAACACCACCAACCACAGUUUGAUCUUUUCUUAGCAAAACUGAAUGCCUACAUGACUCAAUAAGUAAGCACUAUCACUACAAACUGAUGAAGCCAAUUCAUAAAACAGAAAGAGAGAAAGAAAGAUUUGGGAUAAAUAGAGGAGAUUAGAGUAACUCAACCCCUUCUUAGCAGAUAAAAAUGUUAUUUUCCCUUUCAUUACAGAAAUCUACAACUAGGGACCACAAAUGGUGUCUGAUCACAGGGCUUCUCUUUGUUCACAGAAUUUCUUCUGCAUUAGUUAUUCCUGCAUACUACUACCCACCACCUGUGUAUCCUUAGGAUUUUUUUGUUACUAGGAGCGGGAUGGACAUAAUAAUUCGUUAGCCUUAUCAGGAAUUAUCUAGAUUUACUUGCAAAACAGAGAGGUACUUCCUUCAUAGUUUUGCUUUAAAAACCGCUGUCCUAAAAAUGCCCAUCACUACAUUAAUUUCUUUAGGAUUUUGCUUUUCAUACUUGAUUUUUUCUCUUCUACACUGUUUGUGUUCUUGACACAAAGAACUUGCUUUAGUGUGUUUAAUCCACUAGAGAAGAUUCCCCAAAUGUUGUGAAGUUGUGAAUCACAGGUCGUUACCUUUCAUCUGCUCCAUUCAAAUGGCAGGUUAUGAUGAGGUAUGACAUUCUGGCUUGGUUUGUUUGUGCAACAGCUGGGAUUUUUGUAAGGGGGAAGUAAGGUACUUGAGUAAUCUCGAUUUGUUUUCAAUAGGGCUGCAGUAGACUUGAACGAAGACGUGUUUCUGAGGUCCUUUCCCUGUUGCUUUCCAGCAUUUGAUGCUGAUUUCACUUUUUUAUUUUAUGACAGCAGUCAUGCUUGGCUAGAUAAGCUAUCUCAAGCCCUUCCUGAUACUCAGGUGAGCAAUAAAGAGAGUGUUCAGCAUUUCGGUGGGCAUUAUCUGUAGUGUCACAGUGCUAUAUUUUUCACUUUAGUGCCUCAUCGCUUUUAGUGACUUUAGCUGUCCAAAUAUAUUUGUAAGCUUAGGAGUACCCAGGGCUUUGAUGGUCGCUCUGUAUAAUCACUCUCUCAUCAGGGGGAUUUGGGAGUAAUUUGUAGUCAUCAGCAGAGCUUGCCAGAUUUUAUAUUAAAAGGAUGAAGUUGCCAACUCAUGUAAAUUUGCUGUAGUCUUAUUUUGCCUGGUGUCUUCCUUCAGAGCAGCCAGCUGUUGGUUUGCACAAUUGUUUCUGUACCGUGCAUCCAGCUACUUAUGGUCCUAUUUGAAUGAUUUCUGCUCAUGACCAACUCACUAAAUAGUUCAUAUCCAAAGCCAAUUGCCAAUGGUUCUUUCUUCAUUAUGAGUCUGAUGCUGAUGGGUUUUAUUAUUAUUUUGGAAGAAGUGAGGGAUCAACACUAUAAGAGGCAAUUCACUGGAGGACUUACCUUGUUGUUAUGUUAAUAUCAGAGUAUUUUAAUGUAGGUGUGAAGCAGCUGUGAAUGCUGUUUCUGCAGCUCCCAAAUCCUUCUCUGAUGGCCAUUUCAGGAAAGAUCUCUAAAUUGUGAUAGCAAGGGUUGACCUUGCCUUCUGUAUUAGCGUGCUUAUGAAUUUCUCUUAGACUUACUUUAGUUGCUUCUUAAACUAAGACAAUAUUACUACGUAAAUAUUAGCUACUGCUGUUUGCUGUGAGCAGGGGUGACGUUAAAAUGCAUUUGUACCUGGGAAGCAAUCUUCAGAUGGAAAACCCCAGGGAAAUGUAAAAUCCUCCCCAUCUCUGUAGGCUGAGACAACAGGAGGGCACGCUGUGUAACCUCACCAUUUGGCUAGACCACGGCUGGAAAUAUAACACUUGUUUGGCACCUGAGUAUGCGGAGACACCUUAACAGAAGUGGUUUUGUGUGAUGACUGCUGCAUAUAUGCUUAAGGGGCAGGGUUGCUGAAAGCAGCUCUGAAAGCAACUCUUUGUGAAUACAUAAAUCACAGAAGCACUGUGUUUGAAGAUUGUAUCAUAUCCAGCAAAGGUGAUACAAUCUACACAGCAUGUAUAUCUCCAAAAUGAACGACUUUUUUUAAUAAUGAUCCACACUCGUUCAUUUUCAUGUGAACAACGAUGAGGAAGGUUCAGCAGGAAGGGCUUACUUCAAGCUUUCAACCCUUCCUAAAGAUCCGCCAGCCUGUGAAGUUUAAAGAGCACUGACGAAGGCCAUGUGAAAUGGUAACAGGGAUUGAUGACACAUGAAUAACCAGAGUGAUUGAUCUGUGUGACAGCUGGCGUAAGUAACAGUGUGGUCUAACUACAGUAAUGCUUGUCUUCCUCUCCCUUCCCUUGCCAGCCAUUUUCAUCAUGACUUCUUUAGCGUCUCGGCAAGGUGCCCUUCAUCCCUCUCUCUAUUGCAACAUUUAUAACAGCCCCACAAAUUAGGUAAUCAGAACUUUCCAUAAGUUCACUUAAAUUUACAAUGAAUAUGAUAUAAUAUGACAACUGGUGUCUGGCAAUAAGCACAGUAUGGGUGGCCCUGUCCCAAACUGCCACUGCAGAGCAUUACCUGGCAAACGCAAGAGGUGAGAUUCUCUUUUAGAUAUACAGUGUACAGAUAUCCGUAUCUGGGCUAGUCACCCUUGUCGCUAUGUAAAAUAGGUCAGGUGAAUCCUACCCCAGGUAUGGGAUUCAAUUCCAGAUUGUAGACAUCUAGAUUUUGGCAUUAGUUGUAGGUGUCCACAUGUUGGGUGGAUGUCCAGGCUCCACAGUGGUCAUCAGAGCUACAGGCAAUACAGUCAAAGGAGUCUGGAGAGCUACUCAGCUGAUCAAAUACAGGGUGAAAUGGGGUGAACUGUGUCCUUGAAAUGCCUGUUCUCUUUUUCUGUUCUGUAAAAGGAACCAAGACUGACAGAUUCAUAUGUAGUCAUCUAUAUCGUAAAUGUCACAGGAUGGGAAUUUUACAAAUGUAGAGAGAAACAGUAUGAAGUUUUCAGCACACACAAAUACAGGCUGGAAGCAACAUAGUUCUUUUGUAUUGCUGGAGAUAAAUUUUGCGCCCUCUUCUGGAAAAAAUGUUUGGCACAUUGAUGUAAUAAAAGAUACAUAUAAAAAAAGA